CCUGUCCCUGUCCCUCCGGCCCGCCCACCGCAGCCCGGACAGCGCGGGCGCCCGGCGCUCCCGUCUCUCCCGGGCGCUUCCCCGCACCUGCCCGGCCGCCGGGCCCUCCCCUCCCCUCCCCUCCCGCGGACACCAGCCGGGCGCGGCCCGCGGCCCCUCGGCAGCCGCGAUGUUCUCCAGGAAGGGCCACGCCGAUGUCAGGAAAUCCACCCAGAAGGCGCUGGACCCCAAGCGGGACGUGCUCACCCGCCUCAAGCACCUGCGGGCGCUGCUGGAUAUUGUGGAUGGAAGUGACCUGAAGCAGUUUUUUGAGAGCAAUUAUUCUCAGAUUUAUUUUAUAUUCUAUGAAAACUUCAUAACACUGGAAAGUAGCUUGAAACAAAAAGGGAAUAAAUCGCAAAGGGAGGAGCUGGACUCCAUUCUCUUUCUUUUUGAAAAAAUAUUGCAGCUGCUACCCGAGAGGAUUUUUUAUCGAUGGCAUUUUCGCAGCAUAGGGUCGAUCCUGAAGAAGCUUUUGCACACUGGAAAUUGUCUCAAGAUCAGGUGUGAGGGGAUGCGGCUGUUCCUGCUGUGGCUGCAGGCGCUGCAGACCCACUGCGGGGAGGAGCAGCUGCAGCUGUUCGCCAGCCUGGUGCCCGGCUUCCCGCCCGCCACGGCCGCCCCGGGGCCCUGCGCGCUCGACAGCCUCCUCAGCCCGCCCGCCGCGCCCGACGCUAAGAUUUUUCCAGAAGAAAUAACCCCACUUUUGCCAGCUGUCUCUGGAGAGAAAAUUGCUGAAGACCAGACCUGCUACUUCCUUCAGCUACUGUUAAAAUACAUGGUAAUUCAGGCCGCAAGCUUAGAGUGGAAGAACAAGGAGAAUCAAGACACUGGGUUUAAGUUUCUCUUUGCCUUGUUUAGAAAGUACUAUCUUCCUCACCUGUUCCCAUCUUUCACAAAGCUAACCAACCUCUACAAGCCUGUUCUUGAUAUUCCCGAUGUAAGACCAAGACCAGUAUACGUUACUGCAACGCGAAACAACGAAAAUGUCUAUAGCACAAAAAUCCCAUUCAUGGCAGCUCGAGUUGUUUUUAUUAAGUGGCUUGUUACCUUCUUUCUUGAAAAGAAAUAUUUAACUGCUGUUCAGAAUACAAAAAAUGGAGGAGAAAUGCUCCCUAAAAUUAUUCAGACUGUUGGUGGUGUGAACCAAGACAGAGGCGCGGAGCUGGAGCCCGGCGUGCCCCCGGGCGGCGAGCCGGACAGGAGCCAUUCCAACUGCAGCACCUUGUCCGACAGGAGGCUCAGCAGCUCCAGCCUGUGCAGCAUCGAGGAGCAGCACCGCGGCGUCUACGACAUGGUGCAGAGGAUCCUCCUGUCCACGCGAGGAUACGUUAACUUCGUUAACGAGGUCUUUCGACAAGCUUUUUUAUUGCCGCCUUCUGAUAUCUCUGCAACACGCAAAGUGGUGAAGGUGUAUCGGAAGUGGAUCUUGCAAGAGAAGCCCGUGUUCAUGGAGGAGCCCGACAAAAAGGAGGACGCGCAGGAUGCUGCUGGCAACGUCGAGGAUUCCUCAGUGCAAACGGAUGGUAAACAUCUCUCCUCCGACGGCUGCGGCCACAAGCGCUCGUCCAGCUGGGGCAGGACGUACUCCUUCACCAGCGCCGUCAGCCGGGGGUGCGUGGUGGAAGACGAGGACAGGAACGUCAAAGCUGGUGCUCAGGCUGCGCUGCAGGUGUUCUUGACAAACUCUGCCAAUGUUUUCCUCUUGGAGCCGUGUGUCGAAGUGCCGGUGCUUCUGAAGGAGCAGGUUGAUGCUUGCAAAGCCGUUCUGAGUAUCUUUAGGCGCAUGAUAAUGGAGCUAUCCAUGGAUAAGAAGACAUGGGAACAGAUGUUGCAGAUCCUCCUCAGAAUCACAGAAGCUGUGAUGCAGAAGCCGAAAGAAAACCAGAUGAAGGAUACGUUUGCGCAAAGCCUGUCGGGAUUGCUUUUCCGAACGCUCAUCGUGGCCUGGAUCCGAGCGAACCUGAGCGUGUACAUCUCCCGGGAGCUGUGGGACCAGCUGCUCGGCGUCCUGUCCGCCCUCACGGGCUGGGAGGAGCUCAUCACCGAGUGGGCCAACAUCAUGGACUCGCUGACAGCCGUGCUGGCCAGGACCGUCUACGGGCUGGACAUGACCAGCCUGCCCUUGGACAAGCUCAGCGAGCAAAAGGAGAAAAAGCAGAGAGGGAAAGGUGGCGUUUUAGAGCCUCAGAAGACGGCCGUAGUGGGAAGAUCUUUUUCGUUAAGCUGGAAAAGCCACCCCGAAGUUGUGGAGCCGAUGAGGUUCAGAAGCGCUACCACCUCCGGAGCCCCCGGAGUUGAGAAGGCCAGAAAUAUCGUUCGUCAGAGAGCUACAGCUAAGCGAAGCCAGUCUAUCAGCAACUGUGUCCAUCUCUGUGAGGCUUUGCCAGCCACUAAAAGUGUCCCUCUCCUGCUUCACACUGUGAGCUCUCUCUUACCUGGUAUCUCUUACACCUCUUGCUCUCACAGACUCUCAGAAGUUGAAGAGUCUCAGCAGCUGGAAAAUUCAGUGGGGCCGGAAGCUGCAGGGCUGUUUGCAGAGCAGGAGCAGCAGCUGACGCGGAGCAGCAGCGCUUCAGACCUUACAGACCAGUUUCCCUCUGACUUUUUCCAAGGUAAAAAGUCUGGGAGUUCUCAUAAUUUAACUUCUUCAGACUGCAAGUCAGUUCAGGAAAAUAAGGGAUGUACGAAGAAGGAACAUGAAGCUGAGCAAGUGCCAGUGCGCAGAAGCAGUAGCACAGCUGACCUGGAUUUGAAAGCAGCCUUGCAGCAAUCACAUGGCGAUUACAGAGAGAGAGAAAAAAGCGCGAGCGUGAGCAGCGACACGUCCAUCGGGGACAGCGCCGAGGUGGAGAUGGCGCUGCUGCCCUGGCCGGCCGCGCAGGACGAGCAGGACGGGCGCACGGCAGCGUGUGCGGAUCCCGACACGCCGCGCUGGCUGCAGCUCAGCCCCUCCGACACCGCCAACCUCACAGACAGCAGCGAGUUCCUGGCUGACGACUGCAGCAUCAUUGCGGGCGGGAGCCUGGUGGGCUGGCACCCGGAUUCCGCCGCCGUGCUCUGGAGGAGGGUCCUGGGAAUCCUCGGGGACGUCAACAACAUAGCGUCACCUAAAAUCCACGCCAAAGUUUUCAGCUAUCUUUAUGACUUGUGGUAUAAACUUGCAAAGAUACGGGACAACCUUGCCAUUAGUGUGGACAAUCAGUCUACUCCCUCUCCUCCGGCCUUAAUUCCCCCUCUCAGAAUAUUUGCGUCAUGGUUGUUCAAGGCAACCACCCUGCCGAACGAGUACAAGGAAGGCAAACUUCAGGCCUACAGGCUGAUCUGCGCCAUGAUGACCAGGCGCCAGGACGUUCUGCCAAAUUCCGAUUUCCUGGUUCAUUUUUACUUUGUGAUGCACCUUGGCUUAACAAGUGAAGACCAGGAUAUCUUGAACACCGUCAUAAAGCACUGCCCACCGUGGUUUUUCUUCCUGGGCUUGCCCGGCUUCACGCUGCUGAUCGGAGACUUCAUCACGGCGGCAGCCAGGGUGCUGAGCAGCGACGCGCCCGAGGCUCCCCGCUCAGAAGCUCACACCAUCCUCGGUUCUCUUGUUUGCUUUCCAAAUAUCUACCAAGAAAUCCCGCUCUUGCGGCCUGUUUCGGAAUCCGGUGAUAUCAUCGCAGGAACUGCAGAUGUGAAGUGCUACCUCAUAAAUAUUUUAUUGAAGAAUGCUACAGAGGAGCCGAGUGAAGCUGCAAGAUGCGUAGCCAUCUGUGGCCUGGGCGUCUGGAUCUGUGAAGAGCUGGCGCAGGGCACAAACCACCCCCAGGUGAAGGAGGCAAUCAACGUCAUAGGCGUGACACUGAAGUUCUCUAAUAAACUGGUAGCUCAGGUAGCCUGUGAUGUUCUUCAGCUCCUGGUUUCUUAUUGGCAAAAGCUUCAGAAGUACGAAUCCUCCCUGUCCAAGAAAAUCACUGAAAUCCUGGUGGCCACUAUCGCGUUUCUUUUGCCGAGCGCUGAAUACUCGUCGGUGGAAGCAGAUAAAAAGUUUAUAGUUUCGCUGCUGCUUUGCUUGCUGGAUUGGUGCAUGGCGUUACCCAUGAAAGUGCUGCUGGAGCCCGUGUCUGCGGGUGCUGUGGAAGAUCAGCACGCGGCCAAAGCGCCGCUGCUGGACUACAUUUACAGAGUCCUGCACUGCUGCGUGAACGGCUCCAGCACCCACACGCAGCAGAGCCCCUACGUGCUGAGCCUGGCGGAUCUCUCCUGCAGCGACUACGACCCCUUCCUGCCGCUGGGGAACGUCCGCAGCUCGGAGCCGGCCCAGAGCCCCUGCGCCACGGACCUGGGCAACCUGCUCACCGUCGCCGAGGAGAAGAGGAGGAGGAACUUGGAGCUGAUCCCCCUGACGGCGCGGAUGGUGAUGACGCACCUGGUGAACCACCUGAGCCACUACCCGCUGAGCGGGGGCCCGGCCGUCCUGCACAGCCUGCUGAGCGAGAACCACGACAACUCCUUCGUGGACUCCCCCGAGCUGUCCUCGGACGUCUUCCGCAGCCCCAACCUGCAGCUCUUCGUCUUCAACGACAGCACGCUCAUCUCCUACCUCCAGAUCCCCGCCGAGAAGCAGCCGGGCCCCGAGCCGGCCGCGGCCCCCUCGGACGUGCGGGUGAUCGUGCGGGACAUCUCGGGGAAGUACUCGUGGGACGGCAGGGUGCUGUACGGCCCGCUGGAGGGCUGCCUGCCGCCGCACCGCACGCCCAGCGCCUUCGCCAUCUCGGCACAGCCCGAGUGCCGCUUCCUUUCCCAGAAAGACGUUUCUCAGGCGGAAGAAGGAGAAGAUGCGCUGGACCAGCUGCUGGAGCAGAUUGGGAGCAGCAGCCCGGAGUGCCUCCUGCAUCCCCAGCGCAAGCUGAACGAGCCGUCGCCACCGCCCUUCGGCAUGAGCCGUGACCAGGAGAACGCCAUCACCGAGGCGCUGAUGAGGCAGAGCGCCCAGGAAACAGAGUAUAUGUUGAAACGCGGCUCGGACCUCAGCAUGAAAGUGGCCCGGCAAGAGCCGCCGCGUCCUGCCGAACCCCAGGCGUCCUUCUAUUUCUGCCGCCUCCUGCUGAACGACUUGGGGAUGAACUCCUGGGACAGAAGAAAAAGCUUUCACCUUCUUAAGAAAAAUGCAAAAUUACUGCGAGAACUGAAAAAUCUGGAUUCCCGCCAAUGCCGCGAAACGCACAAGAUUGCGGUGUUCUACAUCGCGGAGGGCCAGGAGGACAAGUGCUCCAUCCUCUCCAACGCCAGGGGCAGCCAGGCCUAUGAAGACUUCGUGGCUGGGCUGGGCUGGGAGGUUGACCUCUCGACACACGGCGGGUUCAUGGGCGGCCUGCAGCGCAACGGCAGCACGGGACAGACGGCGCCCUAUUACGCUACCUCCACCGUGGAAAUCAUAUUUCACGUGUCUACCAGAAUGCCAUCGGACUCCGACGAUUCACUGACCAAAAAGCUUCGUCACUUGGGGAAUGAUGAGGUUCACAUCGUCUGGUCUGAGCACACCAGGAACUACCGCAGAGGCAUUAUUCCCACCGAUUUUGGAGACGUUCUAAUUGUUAUUUACCCCAUGAAGAACCACAUGUUUUUCAUAGAGAUAAUGAAGAAACCGGAGGUGCCGUUUUUUGGCCCCCUCUUCAACGGAGCCAUCGUGACGGCGACGCUGCUGCCCAGCCUCAUCUGCGCCACGUGCAUCAACGCCAGCAGAGCCGUCAAGUCGCUCAUCCCGCUCUACCAGAGCUUCUACGAGGAGAGAGCUCUGUACCUCGAAGCAAUAAUCCAGAACCACAAAGAAGUAAUGACAUUUGAGGAUUUCGCCGCUCAGGUCUUUUCUCCCUCUCCCGGCUACUCCCUGGGCGGAACUGGUGAGUCUCUGCACGUUAUUCUUCUCUUUAGCACUAAGAAGCACUCGAGCAGCAGAUGUACACCUGUUUUUUGUAGAUAAAUGCUUGCAAAUUUAAGACGACCAUUCUUCCCCUGAAUCAACUAAUGAAUAUCAAAAGGAGUGAUGACAUUCAUUUUAAUUUGUUUUGCAUCAGAGCUAUUCACUGCGCUCCUUUCUUCAGCUAUCCUGUUAACCCCCGGAUCCAAGGAGGUUAAUGAACUUUCUCUCGGUAAUGUGCCUGGGCUCAUUCAGGACGGUGGGUUUCUUGCUGAGCUGGGAAUAUGUUGUUCAAAAGCGAUGCCUGAAUCGGUGCUUACUUAUCGAGAAAUAGUUCCUUGCAGUGGAGGCCGUUGCUGCUAAUGCUAAAUGGGGAUUAUGCUGCUGAGAUACCAGGGUCAGGGAUUAAUGCAGGAGCGGUGUAAGGACGGUGUUGUUAGGAGAUGCAGCAGCGCGCUGACACGGCCCUGGGUACACACGGGCCAUUUCGGGCGUCCUGCCAACACCUGGCCUGGGCCUGCGGGGGCUUAAUGUAUAUAUGGAGACAGAGACGUAUAUACGCACACGUAAACGCUGAUCAUCGUUCAUCAGCCCAACUGAAGGACGAACACGUAGUGCUGAACUCCCCAAAUGUAUUCCUUACAUGUGAGAUUCCCAGCCCGUAUGCAGUCAGCGCGAUAGGAACCGCUGCUCUGCUGGUUAAAUCGAGUUUAAAUAAACCCCUCCCCAAAGGAACCUUGAGUCUGAACUGCGGCUUUCUGGUGCCCUCAGGAUUUGUUUCUGCAGCCUCCGCAGAGCGCGUGGGCACCGUGUGCCGGACUCUGUCACAGAGGUUCCGUAAUCCCUUUUCUACACUCGCAGGGUGAAACCGGCACUUCUAAUUAUUCCCUGCUACCCUUCGGAUUGUUUAACAGGUUAUUUUAAACGUGUAUAAAUGUAGCAGGACAUCUGCUCGAUUUCUCUUUAGCCCGGCUUGUUAGCAAAUAUCUUCCAUCUAAACUGAGAAAUCGAGGGGAGAAAUUAAAUUUGCCAGGAUAAGCAUCAGAUAAUCUGGCGGCGCAUUGUGGGGCCGCUGGCCGCCGGCCCGGCUGCGGCACGUCGGAUCAGCGCCCCUGCGCCCGGCGGCGCGCAGAUAAGGAGCUGGCAGGACGGGACAUCUCCAUAAUCAUGGGGGGACAGGGACGUCUCCGUAACCGCAGGGGGACGGGGUUGUCUCCACAAUCACGGGGGGACAGGGAUGUCUCCAUAAUCGCGGGGGCACGGGGACGUCUCCAUAGUCGUGGGGGGAUGGGGUUGUCUCCAUAAUUGCAGGGGGACAGGGACGUCUCCAUCAUCACGAGGGGACGGGGACGUCUCCAUCAUAGUGGGGGGAUGGGGACAUCUCCAUAAUUGCAGGGGGACAGGACGUCUCCAUAAUCUCAGGGGGACAAGACGUCUCCAUCAUCGUGGGGGGACGGGGGCGUCUCCAUAAUCACUCCCGGAGCAGGCUGGAGGAGCAGCCUCUGCUGAUCUCUGCUGUGCUGAACACCAAAGGGUGGUGGAAAACCAGUCACUUACAGCUCUGAUUAACGUUUGCUACGUUAAAAACUAGAACAGCUGUGAAUUAGAUUCUUUAUACGCGCUGCCAAAAGUCAGAGACAAAAAAAGUGAUCAGCUUCAAGAGAAAUGUAGAUUUCGUGCCCAGUGUCAUUGGCACUUUGAGUCAUUUAUCUGUUGACAAAUCUGCGAACAGAAAUGUGGAUACAUUGAUGUAUUUUAAAUGUUUUGCUCUAUGCAUAACUGUAUUUAGUUUUUGUAUUCUUCUUACAGCACACACUGAUCUUACUAUGAACAAGUUCGGUUUGACAGGGAAGGGCAGAUUUGUUCUAUGAUCUCAGGGUCACACUUUCUAAAGUCUGUGAUUCUGUAUUCCAAAACUAUUUAAAAUGUUCCCUAAUAUCUACUUAAGUUUUUGAGAACACUGUUAAAUCAUUGGUACCUGAACAUGUUGUUAUGAUUUCAUUAUUUCAUUUUUUUAAGACUAAACCUGCCACAGUCAGGUCCUGAUGUUCGGACUUGGGAACAUCAGAAGGUAUUUCCCGCUCACGAGGAGCCUGGAGGCCGGUCAGGACUUGUGCCUCAGGAUCUCUGCUCCAGAGUCUCCUCGUGUUCCCACCGAUUCACGUGCACGUUUACCGCGUGUUACGGAGAGCGGGGCCGGGCGCUGAUGCUCGGACGUGCAUUCCCUGAGCCGCCGUGGUGGCGCCGGGCAGCGCGUGGGGUCGGUCACCGCGUGGGGCCGGUCACCGCAUCGGGUCGGUCACCGCAGCCGCCAGCGCCCGCCUUACACUGCUCAGGUGAAUUUAGCGUUAAUUCUCCUGGGAUCUUAUUCUUGACACCAGCUGACUGCAACCCUGUCAUCGCUGUGUGACACCUGCACAACGGAAAGGGUCAGUGAGUAAGUACACUUUUUGCUACGCUUGUUUUUAGUAGUUUAUGCAGUACAAGAAGCAAAUCAAGACUGUUAAAUUAACGGAACCUGUAGCUGCUAAUGACACACAGCAUUGGUGCAUUAUUAGCUAUGAGCUGGGUUUAUGUUUUGUGAUGCUGGCGGAUGCUCCGCUCGGCUCGGGGGCUGCGGUUCCUGAGGAACCUGUGUCACAAACAGGCGGCAGGUGCCACCUUCACACAGGACACUCGGCUGGUCGGGCUCUGGGGCUGUUCUCAGCAGAGCCCUGAGCUCCUGCCCCUGUCCCCAUCACCAUGGCCCGUGUCCCAGCCCGUGUCCCAUCCCGUGUCCCCGUGGUGCACACGCAGCCCCCGCGCACCGAGGGGAUGUGCAGGCUGGGAACAAAGGGUGAGAAUACGCGGCUUUGUCGUUAAACUGGUACAUUACAUGCUGUAUUUUAAUUAGGCUGGGGAUGAGAGUCAGCCCAGGAAAUCCGCCGUAAUCCAGCACUAUUGAAUUAUUCUGAUCCUUUCCCUCUGCAGAUUUCUCUCCUUUUGGAGCACGGGUUUAAGCUGCUAUCUUGUUCUCUUGCUCUUUCAGCCAAAAUGAGGAACAGCUAGUCAACAAAAUACUUGUGUGUUCUUUAACAAAACCCAAACGUGAACGUGAAACAGGCACUAAUAGAUACAAAACAGUUCCAACCUGAAUCACCUCUGCCGACUAAAAAGCGUUUGUUGUUUUGUUUUCAUGUAAGAUCGGAAGGCAGCGUCGUGUUAACCCUCAGACACCACAAGUGGUCGGAUGCUGUAGCGAGGAAAAGCGAAUUUCCCAGCAGAGGAGGGUUUGUGUUUGGGGUCUGGAUCUGCAGGGGCAGGUUUUGCGUGCAGCUGGGCCGGUGCUGCGAAGGGUUAAGGAGCCGCACACUUGACUCGGGCUGAUCUCAUCACGGCCACAUCCAAGUGCAUCUGUUGCCAUGAGGUCACCCCGGUGCAUGCUAAUCAGCCGCGGGCAGCCGCAGCGCUGCGCGCACACGGGUCUCCUGCGGCGGGCUCUGGGUGCCGGCAGCUGCCGGGGAUGCGGCGGCACCUCGGGUGAUCGCCUCCCGCUUUCGUUCCUUCAAAGCAGCGUUUUCAGCGGUGUCGGGAGAACUCUGACAUGUGGUAUCUGUUGAUAAAUGGAUUCUCUAAUGAAUAUUAGAGCGCUGCCCUCAGCAACACUUGAGCAGCGGCGCCGGAGCCCUUUCCAGCGCUGCCCGGGUUUACAGCCCCGGAAGCUGUGCUGCUUAUUUACAUAAAACUGAGAUUUUGCAGCCUUUUUGUUGAAAAGGCGACACGCACUUUGCUUUGUCUCCGGACUCUGACAUGCGUGGAUUUCUUGUCGAGAAUACUUGACUGUGCAACAAACAGGAUUUUGUUUAUUUUAAUACACUUUUUGCUAAGUGUUGAGCUUUACCUUUCCCACUUUAAAGCAAAAGGAAUAUUUCAAAGGGCCGUGUACUUUUAAAACAGAUUUUUGACAGAAACAAAACAAAACCUGGAGAAACGGUUGUCUUAGACUUACCUUCUUUCUAAUGCUAACUGAGCGAUGAUUCUUUUUGGUUUGAGUUCUUUUCUGCUUUUGGGGGAGGUUUGGUUUGGUUGGGUUUUUUUUACUUCUUUGUUUGUGCUUUUUCUUUGAAAAUGCAUAGGGUGCUUUGCCAGUUCUAUGUACCGGGUGCAAUGGAAGCGUCUCCAGGUUUUGUAUAGUAUUUCUGUGUGUUUUUAGGGAAGCUGGAUGGCGCUGAGCGUUAGAAAGAACACAGAGGUGCAGCGUGGCUCUGCGGUGCCGCGGCAGCGCCGGCAGCGAACACCGCUUUGCCUCUUCCCACUCGGGCAGCGGUGCCUGCCUUCAGCACCCUGCUCGCACACGGGGCGGUGUGAGGAGUCUGCACCGCUCUGGUAGGUGCAGACGAGGGGAUACCAAGGAAGGUCCUGCAUGUUGACUGUAAGAUGUUUGUGUGUUUCCAUGAGAGAGCAGCACUUUCCUGAGUUGGUGGGAAGGCGGUGCUGGAGCAGCGGGUUCGUCGGGGCAGGAGCGGCUGUGUGCGGGGUGUGCGGGGGGUCCCCAGCAGCAGCGGGGACACACGGUCACUGGGCUUUGUUCAUCUGCUUCACAAGAAGAGCAAGAUCUUUUCUCCUAGGGCAGGAAAAACCCACUUGGUUCUGUUCAGUAGAUUUGAAAUAAAAUAAGCUCUCUCUACCUCUCAGAAAUAAAAUGUUUAAAGUGUAUUUUUAUCUGUAUUACUAACUGAACUUCUACUCCCCCCCGAAGGAACACGCAUUCUAACAGCUCCCCGUUGAUCCCGCACAGCGUCUGUACCUGGAGGAGGCGGCCGAGGCCCCGAGCGUCACCCCACGCACCCACACGGCCUUUGGGAAAUCUCCGUGUCCCAGUGGUCUCCGUAUUGGUCACCUCCUGGUUUUUUAACCUGCCUACAGCGUCAUCGCGGUUUAGGCCUCUGAAGCCUCAAAUUUUGCCCAGUUUCCAGGUGUAUUGUCACUAACAGUGUUGGAAACCCUGCUGUAAAGAGGCUGCUGAGGUCCUGCUGGGCCAUCUCGGCAAGUUUGGCACAGGAUGAAGGGAUGAUGAUUUGUUCCAGUUUUCACCACCGUUACCUCCCUGUUUUUCCAUUGACAGACGCGUGGGGGCAGGAAAAGGCCCAUGGGUGCCACGUCCCCCAGGUCCCUGAGGGGACAGAGAUGACCUUUCUCUCGUGUUUGCCGGUUUCUGCUGUGCCAGCAGCAGCCCGACCUUCACGCGAGCGCAACGCGUGUGCUGUUCCUGUAUUUACACGAUUUUGUGUUCUCUCCCUUUAGAUUAGAAUAUGUAAUGGUCUCGUUACGGUAAUUGCCGCAGGCUGCCUCCCCACGAGUGCAAGCGCUGACCUCGCGCUCGCCAUCGAGUUUUCGGAGCCGCCGUCGCCCGCGCUGCCCCGCGGCUGCAGGAGCCGGGUCUCGGGGAAGCUCCGCCGCUCGGCCAGCGCGCUCGGCAAGGGGCUGCGGGAGCAGCGCUGUGGCCGCGCGAGCCCGGACACCGUGACCUAGCUCACUGCUGCCUCGCCUGCUGCAUCGCCGUGCCGCUGCAGCGCGACGGCUGCGCGCCGCGACCCGCUCACGAGAAGAGGAACCACGUCUUCUCUGGAGAGCAAAUGCCGCACAUUUACCACAACUCCUUCUCACUGCGGCUUCAACAACGAGACUGCACCUCUUGGUAACUGCCUCACCUUGUACCACAUCAGGGCAAUCGUCUGCAACCUGAAGCAUCUCUGGUUGGAGUAACGGGAAUCUGAAGGCUUCUGAGGACACGCCGUGUCCUCCUAGCACUUUGUGUAGCAAGAAAAACUUCUUGUAUUUUCACUAGGAAAUGUAUUCAGUCUACAUGUAUUAUAGGUUUCUAGGGGCGAUAACUUGUUAUAGCUAAAAAAAGCAAAACUGUAUAAUAAAAAGAAACCUGUGAACAUCCUGCAGCACUCAGAGUGAACGAGGACGGCCAGGGCGAAGGCAGAACCCGCCACGCGUCACAGGACAGGAGCCGACACCGACCAACCCGCGGGGAGAUGCUGCAAAGCAAAUAACAUGGUGUGAACUUCAUUGUUUGGGUGUUUGGAGCACCUGCCCGCUCCAGAGUCCCGUCCCUUCCCUUCCCUUCCCUUCCCUUCCCUUCCCUUCCCUUCCCUUCCCUUCCCUUCCCUUCCCUUCCCUUCCCUUCCCUUCCCUUCCCUUCCCUUCCCUUCCCUUCCCUCCGCAGGUCUGGACCGUGUUGUUGCUGUUGUUCUGUUUGCUCCUUGGCACCAAACGCACGUGUCUGAACCUGGUGUGAUUUGGUCUGAGUGAAGGGGAUUGGGCUUUCAGGGAAGCAAAAGGGGCCAGGUGUUUUCCUUGUUGAGCAGCUGUCUGCGUGUCAGCGUCCGGCCCCGUCACCCCCCGCCAUCACGGGCACCGCAGCCGUCCCGCCGGCAACAGCCGCCUUUGCAAAGGGCUUUGAUGCCGUUCUGAUCCUCUGCCUCACAUUUGGGUUUUGCUUUCUACUGAUUAUUUGUUGGUAAAGGAAAUUAGAAAAUAAAAUGUGUACUUUAAUUUAUUAUCUCUUCAGGACUGGAUAGGCGAGCGUGUCUUGUUCUUAGUUAUCCAAUAAAUGGUCUGACAUAAUUUCAAAGGCAUUCUUCUGAAACACAGGAGACUUUUCUCACUAGAGCAAUAUGCAUCUAAUUCAGGGAAGAACUAAAACACUGAGGAAAAUGCUAUUUUCCUGAUGUCAAAAACCCUAAAAAUGUAAAUUUGUAAAAACUGAGCUGUGGUUUUGUACUAUGAACUGGAUAACAAAGCUGUUCUGUUCCCCCUCACACCGUUAAUAAAUGUUGGCUCACAACAAAACCUUUAAAA